rnacentral:lncRNA from 1 species
GCCUCCCCAGGCCCCCUGGGAAUGCGCUUGCAAGCCUUGGCUGGGCCGCGCUGGCAGGGGCAGGGAAUGCAGAGGCGGCAGAGUAGGGGGGGCCAGGACCCCCCAGCACGGCUUUUCGGGUUAACGCGAAAGAGGAGACCGCGCAGCUCCGGGCCCGGAGAGGACCUCAGGAAUGUGGUGGUUCAGAGCUGACAUCCACAUUUCCCUGUCUGCCUGGAUCCAGUUCGGGGACAGUGGGGCAGCGCCAGGAGGAGGGCCAGCAACACAGCCAGGCAGCCGUCCUGGGGCUGGCUGGCAGUUCAAAGCCCUGCCACAGAGCCCCAGCCCUGCCACCCAUCGCGGGGGCGUAUGGAGCUCCUCAGAUGGGCUGGGCCUUCCUGGAAGAUGAUCCCUGGGACUGGGAGAGGCCCCUCCCCUGUCCCCAUAGGCUGUGCCCUCUCUCCUCAUCCUCAGUCUCUGAGCAGAUGGCACCUUCCUCAGGAAGACCUCCCAGGACAGCGAGGGGAGGGCGACUGCUCCUCCACCUUCCCUGGCCCUGCGUGUCUUCUCUGGAGCAAGCUCAAUUCUAAGCGUUCCUGGGCCCAUGGGCCCCUCGCGGCUGAAGCACGGCUUUUGCGCCUUCACCUGGUUUUGGAAUCACAAGCCAAACUCAGGCAGCACCUGGGGAGAUGAACGUGGAGGCUCCAGUGGGCAGGUGGACCUCGUGGUGCUGACCAAACUCUAGCCAAGUUUCAAGGCCCGGCUCUCAGACGCUCCCCCAGAUGGCCCACAGCUGGCUAACAUCUAGUGCUGAGAUGGUCUGCCUGGGGCAGGACACAGACCUCACCACGGGCAGGAUUUCUUCCCAAAGCUGUGCCAUCCCUCGAGUCCCUGGGGAUGCUGGUGACAGUGCAGACCCCAGGCCCGGCAGUGGGGCUGCAGUGACCCACGGUUAUCAUGGGAACUCCAUACCUGAGCAGCCCCUCCUGGACCCACGGAGAAAGGACUCGCACCCAUUUUGUCCAGGGCAGUGCCUGGCACGAAGCAGACAGGUGCUUGUCAGACAGGUAUCGAACGAACCAUUCCUUGCCCCAUCCCCACCACAGGGGCCAUGGCUCAGAAGGGCCCUGCACGUGGUUGGAUGCUCUGAUCGUCCUGGAAGGAGGGUCUCGCAUUUUCGUUUUGCACAGGGCUCCACGAAUCUCGUAGCUGCCCUGCUGUUCCCACAUCCUGCCCCUUAAAAAGUCCUGGGCAGGAACCCUCCUACCUCGGGCUGUGGUGGCUUGGGGCCCAUUCCUUUCCUGAGCCCAGUUUCACCCCGCAGGGUACAGGGUGCUGGCUACGAGACCUUCUGCCCCACCACACCUCAGCCAGGUGAGGGCACGGUCGGGGUCUUCAUCCCUUCAACCUUGACCUCUGCUCUUCACCACAGGCAGCCAGGUUGUGACAGCCUGUGAGGACCCCUUGGCUCCCGGAGCCUUCCCUCUCCUGGAAUAGAGACGACACUGUGCCAUCAUUGAACUCACCUGAAAAAACGAUCUGUUGCAAAGCUCACAGGAAGUAAUGGAGCAACGUUACAUGAUAAACUGUAAAGUGUGGUGAGCACGUGAACAAGUGUCCAGGACCCAGCGAAGCCCCAGGCUACUGGGCUUGAAGUCAGAGGAGAAAAGGAAAGGGCAGCCUGCUGUAGGAUCUAAGGCCUCCAUGUGCUUAGCCCAUGGCUGUCGUCAUGGUGACGUGUGCACACGAUGUAUCUGAGCCAGCCUUGUUCUUGAACGCGGGCAGUGAAUCCCACGGUGAUGUGGCAUGUCGCGAGCUGGAGGAGGGGCGCCCGCAUGGAGGCUUGUGAACCAGCUAGACAGCCUUUGGACCUUUUGGAGCCUCAGUUUCCCACACUGAGAAUUGGAGUGGAAUUCCCAGGGUGCUGGAGGUUGAAAGGCAUUGAGAAUCUAAAACACUUUGCAGACAGCAAGACCCUCUGUGUGAGUUAAGAAUUCUCACUCAAUCCCAGCAGGCACUCAGAGGGAUCCUUUAAUUUCUCCAGAAUAUUCUGCAGGUGAGCUGGGGAAGCCCACUGGCCCUGGCCUCACCCCCGAGCCCCAGCCUUCAGCCUGGGAAUGGUCUGGCCUCUUCCUUGCCGGCCCACCAGACUGGCCUCGCAGGACCCUGGGCGGGAACCCAGGAACCCUCAGCCGUGCCACCCGCUAUGUGCUUCCCCAAGAAGCGCUCCCUGUGGCCUAAUUUGAGAAAACAAUGGGCCUCAAUCCAUAUGAAUGACCCUCAAGAGACCCUUUGUCCGCGGUGCACAGCCUAUAAUCAGCGGGGCUCUGGGGGCUCUGGCCUAAUUUGGAGGGACAGGUUUUAUCAUCACCCUUGAUUCGGGUGACCCAAUCUGACAGGCCCACGACCCCCUGU